AACGCUAGCUACAGGCUUAACACAUGCAAGUCGAGGGGUAGCACGGAGGAAGCUUGCUUCCUUGGGUGACGACCGGCGCACGGGUGAGUAACGCGUAUCCGACCUACCCAUAACUCGGGCACAGCCGCUCGAAAGAGUGAUUGAUUCCCGAUAUGUCAUUGGAGUAGAUUCAAUGAUGAAAGAUUUAUCGGUUAUGGAUGGGGAUGCGUAAGAUUAGGUAGUAGGCGGGGUAACGGCCCACCUAGCCGACGAUCUUUAGGGGUUCUGAGAGGAAGGUCCCCCACACUGGAACUGAGACACGGUCCAGACUCCUACGGGAGGCAGCAGUGAGGAAUAUUGGUCAAUGGCCGGAAGGCUGAACCAGCCAAGUAGCGUGAAGGAUGAAGGUUCUAUGGAUUGUAAACUUCUUUUAUACGGGAAUAAAACCACCUACGUGUAGGUGCUUGUAUGUACCGUAUGAAUAAGCAUCGGCUAACUCCGUGCCAGCAGCCGCGGUAAUACGGAGGAUGCGAGCGUUAUCCGGAUUUAUUGGGUUUAAAGGGAGCGUAGACGGGAUGUUAAGUCAGUUGUGAAAGGCUGCGGCUCAACCGCAGCACUGCAGUUGAUACUGGCGUCCUUGAGUGCGGUUGAGGUGUGUGGAAUUCGUGGUAUAGCGGUGAAAUGCUUAGAUAUCACGAAGAACUCCGAUUGCGAAGGCAGCACACUAAGCCGCUACUGACGUUGAGGCUCGAAAGUGUGGGUAUCAAACAGGAUUAGAUACCCUGGUAGUCCACACGGUAAACGAUGGAUACUCGCUGCCGGCGAUACACAGUCGGUGGCCACGCGAAAGCCUUAAGUAUCCCACCUGGGGAGUACGCCGGCAACGGUGAAACUCAAAGGAAUUGACGGGGGCCCGCACAAGCGGAGGAACAUGUGGUUUAAUUCGAUGAUACGCGAGGAACCUUACCCGGGCUUGAACUAUGGUGGACCGUUCCAGAGAUGGAUCUUCCCUUCGGGGCCGCCAUGGAGGUGCUGCAUGGUUGUCGUCAGCUCGUGCCGUGAGGUGUCGGCUUAAGUGC
rnacentral:rRNA from 1 species